AACGAACGCUGGCGGCAUGCCUAACACAUGCAAGUCGAACGAGACCUUCGGGCCUAGUCGCGCACGGGUGCGUAACGCGUGGGAACCUGCCCUUAGGUCCGGCAUAACUCCCCGAAUGGGGUGCUAAUACCGGAUAAUGUCUUCGGACCAAAGAUUUAUCGCCUUUGGAUGUGCGUGCGUUGGAUUAGCUAGUUGGUAGGGUAAAAGCCUACCACGGCGACGAUCCAUAGCUGGUCUGAGAGGAUGCUCAGCCACACUGGGGCUGGGACACGGUCCAGACUCCUACGGGAGGGAGCAGUGGGGGAUAUUGGACAGUGGCCGGAAGCCUGAUGGAGCAAUGCCGCGUGAGUGAUGAAGGCCUUAGGGUAGUAAAGCUCGUUUACCCGGGAUGAUAAUGACGGUACCGGGAGAAUAAGCUCCGGCUAACUCCGUG
rnacentral:rRNA from 1 species